rnacentral:rRNA from 1 species
AGUUUGAUCCUGGCUCAGGACGAACGCUGGCGGCGCGCCUAACACAUGCAAGUCGAACGGAGCUUAGAGAGCUUCUUUUUAAAGGUUUGGCGGGACGGGUUGAUAACGCGUAGUCACCCCUCCGGGAGUGGGGGCAACAGGUUGAAAAAAUUUUUUUAACACCCCAUAACGCCCCCGGUCCCCCUAUUGUAAGAAGAAAAAGUUUUUUUCCUUUUAGGAGGGCCCCCGCUCCAAAUUAGUUGGUGGGGGAGUAACGCGCCCCACAAGGGGAAUGUUUGGUACCCGGAUUGAGGUGUUAAACGGCCCACUUUGGGAUUGAACACCGGCCCAAGCUUCCUAGGGGGGGCACCAGUGGGGGAUUUUGCACAAUGGGGGAAACCCUUGAUGCAGCGACCCCGCGUGGAGAAGAAGGUUUUCGGAUUGUAAACUCCUGUCGUUAGGGACGAUAAUGACGGUACCUAACAAGAAAGCACCGGCUAACUACGUGCCAGCAGCCGCGGUAAAACGUAGGGUGCAAGCGUUGUCCGGAAUUACUGGGUGUAAAGGGAGCGCAGGCGGGAAGACAAGUUGGAAGUGAAAACCAUGGGCUCAACCCAUGAAUUGCUUUCAAAACUGUUUUUCUUGAGUAGUGCAGAGGUAGAUGGAAUUCCCGGUGUAGCGGUGGAAUGCGUAGAUAUCGGGAGGAACACCAGUGGCGAAGGCGGUCUACUGGGCACCAACUGACGCUGAGGCUCGAAAGCAUGGGUAGCAAACAGGAUUAGAUACCCUGGUAGUCCAUGCCGUAAACGAUGAUUACUAGGUGUUGGGGGAUUGACCCCCUCAGUGCCGCAGUUAACACAAUAAGUAAUCCACCUGGGGAGUACGACCGCAAGGUUGAAACUCAAAGGAAUUGACGGGGGCCCGCACAAGCAGUGGAGUAUGUGGUUUAAUUCGAAGCAACGCGAAGAACCUUACCAGGUCUUGACAUCCAAUGCAUAGCACAGAGAUGUGUGAAAUCCUUCGGGACAUCGAGACAGGUGGUGCAUGGUUGUCGUCAGCUCGUGUCGUGAGAUGUUGGGUUAAGUCCCGCAACGAGCGCAACCCUUAUUGCCAGUUACUACGUUAAGAGGACUCUGGCGAGACUGCCGUUGACAAAACGGAGGAAGGUGGGGAUGACGUCAAAUCAUCAUGCCCUUUAUGACCUGGGCUACACACGUACUACAAUGGCGUUAAACAAAGAGAAGCAAGACCGCGAGGUGGAGCAAAACUCAAAAACAACGUCUCAGUUCAGAUUGCAGGCUGCAACUCGCCUGCAUGAAGUCGGAAUUGCUAGUAAUCGCGGAUCAGCAUGCCGCGGUGAAUACGUUCCCGGGCCUUGUACACACCGCCC